rnacentral:rRNA from 1 species
GGUGGGGAUGACGUCAAGUCCUCAUGGCCUUUAUGACCAGGGCUACACACGUACUACAAUGGCCGAUACAAAGGGCAGCGACACUGCGAGGUGAAGCCAAUCCCGUAAAAUCGGUCUCAGUCCGGAUUGGAGUCUGCAACUCGACUCCAGGUGAAGUUGGAAUCGCUAGUAAUCGUGGAUCAGCAUGCCACGGUGAAUACGUUCCCGGGCCUU